UACGUAGGUGGCAAGCGUUGUCCGGAUUUAUUGGGUUUUAAGGGUGCGUAGGCGGCCCUGUAAGUCAGUGCUGAAAUAUCCCAGCUUAACUGGGAGGGUGGCAUUGAUACUGCGGGGCUAGAGUACAGAUGAGGUAGGCGGAAUUGACGGUGUAGCGGUGAAAUGCUUAGAUAUCGUCAAGAACACCUAUAGCGAAGGCAGCUUACUAGGCUGUAACUGACGCUGAGGCACGAAAGUGUGGGGAUCAAACAGG
rnacentral:rRNA from 1 species